UUCAAAGGAAACGUAAAGAAUGUAAUUUAGGUCAAUACAAUAUUCACGUGGAAAAAGAAGAGGAGAAUAACAUGUGAACAUCACCUUAGAUACUGUGUGUUUGCAACUCAGGUUUUUGAAGGUGUAACGAAAUGAAAAUACCCUUAUUUGGAAAGCCUGUAGAAUAUACUUUAAAAGCUUCUGGGCUUUGGCCAAAUUAUCUUAAUAUCUUUGGAAUAAUAGUUACCAUGUCAGGACUGUUUACUGCAUUACCGUUUCAGUUGAUAGAGAUUUUAAACGGAUUCGACGAUUUAUUUAUACGCAUGGACGGCCUAUGCCAUUUUACAGCUGAAAUAUUGUUGUAUGCCAAAUUUUUAAUAAUUUUUUAUCAUAAAAGGGUAUUUACAAGUUUAUUGAAUGAAAUGUCAGAUUACUUUGAAAAUGAAGCUAAAAUGGAAGAUUGGUUAAAGCUUAUUGCAGAGUCGCAUCGCUUUACAAAAUUUGAUUACUCUAUGUAUGUAGGUGCUAGUUCAUUCUAUUUUCUACAAUUUAUGCUCAAUUAUCCAGGAACACCCGU